CCUACGGGAGGCAGCAGUGGGGGAUAUUGCACAAUGGGGGGAACCCUGAUGCAGCGACGCCGCGUGGGUGAAGAAGCGCCUCGGCGCGUAAAGCCCUGUCAGCAGGGAAGAAAAUGACGGUACCUGAAGAAGAAGCCCCGGCUAACUACGUCCCAGCAGCCGCGGUAAUACGUAGGGGGCAGGCGUUAUCCGGAUUUACUGGGUUUAAGGGGGGCGCAGACGGCGAUGCAAGCCAGGAGUGAAAGCCCGGGGCCCAACACCGGGACUGCUCUUGGAACUGCGUGGCUGGAGUGCAGGAGGGGCAGGCGGAAUUCCGGGUGUAGCGGUGAAAUGCGUAGAUAUCAGGAGGAACACCGGUGGCGAAGGCGGCCUGCUGGACUGCAACUGACGUUGAGGCCCGAAAGCGUGGGGAGCAAACAGGAUUAGAUACCCUGGUAGUC
rnacentral:rRNA from 1 species